AACGCUAGCUACAGGCUUAACACAUGCAAGUCGAGGGGCAGCAUGGAGUCAGCUUGCUGACUCUGAUGGCGACCGGCGCACGGGUGAGUAACGCGUAUCCGACCUUCCCUUUACUCAGGGAUAGCCUUUCGAAAGAAAGAUUAAUACCUGAUGCCUUUGUUUCCCUGCAUGGGGAGACAAAGAAAGAUUCAUCGGUAAAGGAUGGGGGUGCGUUCCAUUAGAUAGUAGGCGGGGUAACGGCCCACCUAGUCGACGAUGGAUAGGGGUUCUGAGAGGAAGGUCCCCCACAUUGGAACUGAGACACGGUCCAAACUCCUACGGGAGGCAGCAGUGAGGAAUAUUGGUCAAUGGACGGAAGUCUGAACCAGCCAAGUAGCGUGAAGGAAGACUGCCCUAUGGGUUGUAAACUUCUUUUAUAAGGGAAUAAAGUGCGCCACGUGUGGUGCUUUGCAUGUACCUUAUGAAUAAGCAUCGGCUAAUUCCGUGCCAGCAGCCGCGGUAAUACGGAAGGUCCGGGCGUUAUCCGGAUUUAUUGGGUUUAAAGGGAGCGUAGGCGGACUUUUAAGUCAGUUGUGAAAGUUCACGGCCCAACCGUGAAAUUGCAGUUGAAACUGAGAGUCUUGAGUGCACACAGGGAUGCUGGAAUUCGUGGUGUAGCGGUGAAAUGCAUAGAUAUCACGAAGAACUCCGAUUG
rnacentral:rRNA from 1 species